rnacentral:rRNA from 1 species
AAACCAGCACCUCAAGUGGUCAGGAGGUUUAUUGGGCCUAAAGCAUCCGUAGCCUGAUCUAUAAGUUUCCGGUUAAAUCCACAUGCUCAACAUUUGGGCUGCCGGAAAAACUGUAGAUCUAGGGAGUGGGAGAGGUAGACGGUACUCGGUAGGAAGGGGUAAAAUCCUUUGAUCUAUUGAUGACCACCAGUGGCGAAGGCGGUCUACCAGAACACGUUCGACGGUGAGGGAUGAAAGCUGGGGGAGCAAACCGGAUUAGAUACCCGAGUAGUCC